rnacentral:lncRNA from 1 species
GUGGAGAAGAGUAUAGGGGCGGGCCCAUCAUCCCCGAAUUUAGAAGGCUGCACGUGGCCCAAAAGGUCAACUCCAGAUAGAUUUCUCAAUCAUAAAAAAAGAAUGGUGAAGUGAAACGAUGGUAAGAUGCAUUCUGUAAUAGGAGUGCAUAGAAAGAUAACAUACUUCAAGCCAGAUCAGACAACCAGAAGAACGAAUCAGAAAUUAUUCCACGGAGAAUAAUGCAGAACUUGAAGAAAUAUAGUGUAUAUUGUUUUGCUUAUUCCGAAAAAAAAAAGA